CUGGUGGUAGUCUGAGAAGCGGCCGCCUCGAAGAUCGAUUUCGAACAGAGGAUUACUGCUUAAAGUCCCGGAAAAAGAGGAGGAGGUCUUGCAUUGUUUUGUGUUCCCCUUUACUUCCUGUGAAAAUAAAAGACUAACCAUUGGUGUCAA